GUAACUGACAAAACUAGAUCUGAGUAUUCCUUUCCUAGGAAAUAUCUAUGAAAUGUAUGGGGUUACAAUAACUUUUCAGGUGAUUUGAAGGCACAUACACUGUUGCCCCAUAACUCAGUCCAAAUGUUUGUGUAGCAUUUUUAGGGAAUUGGAAGAAUGUCUAUGGGGAAGCAGGAGAACACAUCUUACCUUCCUUCAACCCAAUUAGAUGAUUCUAAACCAUGAUGCAACAUUGUUUUUAAAUCAAAUGAAAUACAGUACUAUUUUCAUCCCAUCUCCUUCAACCAAUGAUUUUGUGGAAAGAAACCUAUAACAUCAUUUAUCCAGGUAUCGCUUCUACUUAAAGAGAUCUGGACAGAAAUGUUACAGUAUACUCUAAAAUAACUGGCAUAUUAUCCUGUUCAUCUUUCCCAUUUCUGCCCCACAGUAUCCCUUCACUGCAUCAAUUGUAGCAUAUCUGCUGAAGCCAACCAUUUUUACCACCGCUCCCAAACAAUACCAAAAGAAUUUCAAUGCACACACACACACUCCUCAACUUAAUAUGGAUCUUUUUUGUGAGUGAUAAAAGCUGGUUAUUCCUAAUCAGAAAUUCUUGGGACAGGACUGUUUUGGAAUUCAUUUCUUUAUAUAUUUUAUUCUUAUAUAUGCAUAUAUGUAUAUAAUGAGAUAUCUUGGAGAGGGGACCCAAGUCUAAACAUGAAAAUCAUUGGUGUUUUGUAUACAUCUCAUACACGUAGCCUGAAGGUAAUUUUAUGCAUAAAACAAAGUUUGUAUAUACUGAACCAGCAGAAAGCAAAAGUGUUACUAUCUCAGCUAU
rnacentral:lncRNA from 11 species